UUUCCGUAGGUGAACCUGCGGAAGGAUCAUUGUCGAGACCGAAAUAUAUGGAGUGAUUCAGCGAACUCGUGAAAUUAACGAUUGCAACUGAUGUUGUGAUUAGCCAUCCCAAUUGUUUUCCCCACGGUUUCAUCGAGGGGUAGCGAUGAAGGAUGGAUUAAAACUCAAACCGGCGCAGUUACGCGCCAAGGGAAUAUCGAAAGACACGAGCCUUUCAUUAGGUUUAGUGUUGUGGAGUGCAUUGCACACCAUACAGAUUGACAUGACUCUCGGCAAUGGAUAUCUCGGCUCUCGCAUCGAUGAAGAGCGCAGCGAAAUGCGAUACGUGGUGCGAAUUGCAGAAUCCCGCGAACCAUCGAGUAUUUGAACGCAAGUUGCGCCCGAGGCCUGUCGGCCAAGGGCACGUCUGCCUGGGCGUCAUGCGUUGCAUUCGCUCCGUGCCAACACCAUCACACCUAUGAGUGUUUGGGGAAGGCUCGGAUGUGCAUAUUGGCUCAUCGUGCCCAUUGGCGCGGCGGGUUGAAGAGUGGGUUAUCGCCUCACUGGCCACGAACAACGAGCGGUGGAUGAAAGCUGUGAGCAAGGCUUAUGUUGUCUCGUUUUGGCUUGAGAAAUGAUCAUGCCUUUAAGAUCCCAACCCAUCCACCGAUCUAUAGUCGGCGGCUUGGAAUGCGACCCCAGGAUGGGCGAGG
rnacentral:rRNA from 1 species